rnacentral:rRNA from 1 species
UACGUAGGGUGCAAGCGUUGUCCGGAAUUAUUGGGCGUAAGAGCUCGUAGGCGGUCUGUCGCGUCUGCUGUGAAAACUCAGGGCUUAACCCUGAGCUUGCAGUGGGUACGGGCAGACUAGAGUGCGGUAGGGGAGGACUGGAAUUCCUGGUGUAGCGGUGAAAUGCGCAGAUAUCAGGAGGAACACCGGUGGCGAAGGCGGGUCUCUGGGCCGUAACUGACGCUGGAGGAGCG